UAGCGGAGGAAAAGAAACCAACAGGGAUUGCCCCAGUAAUGGCGAAUGAAGCGGCAAGAGCCCAAAUUUGAAAUCGGGCAACCGAGUUGUAAUUUGGAGACGGGACACUAGAGAGGAGGAAGGCGAUUAAGUGCCUUGGAACAGGCUGCCGUAGAGGGUGAGAGCCCCGUGAAUCGCUGGAGACCGAUCAAUUAGUGCCCGCCGAAGAGUCGAGUUGUUUGGGAAUGCAGCUCUAAGUGGGUGGUAUAUUCCAUCUAAGGCUAAAUAUUAGCGAGAGACCGAUAGCAAACAAGUACAGUGAUGGAAAGAUGAAAAGAACUUUGGAAAGAGAGUGAAAUAGUACGUGAAAUUGUUGAAAGGGAAGGGUAUUUGAUCCGACAUGGUGUUUAGCAGCGGCCCGUUCCUCGUGGAUGGGUGCACCUGGUUUACACUGGGCCAGCAUCGGUUCUGGGAGCCAUAUACGGGGUUCGUGAAUGUGGCCCUUCGAUUCUGUCGGAGGGUGUUAUAGCGCGGACAUCUUGUGGCUAGCCGGGACCGGGGACUGCGGUGAC
rnacentral:rRNA from 1 species